rnacentral:rRNA from 1 species
UGGGGAAUAUUGCACAAUGGGCGAAAGCCUGAUGCAGCAACGCCGCGUGAGUGAUGAAGGCCUUCGGGUUGUAAAGCUCUGUCUUUUGGGACGAUAAUGACGGUACCAAAGGAGGAAGCCACGGCUAACUACGUGCCAGCAGCCGCGGUAAUACGUAGGUGGCAAGCGUUGUCCGGAUUUACUGGGCGUAAAGGAUGCGUAGGCGGAUUUUUAAGUGAGAUGUGAAAUACCCGGGCUUAACUUGGGUGCUGCAUUUCAAAACUGGGAAUCUAGAGUGCGGGAGAGGAGAAUGGAAUUCCUAGUGUAGCGGUGAAAAUGCGUAGAGAUUAGGAAGAACACCAGUGGCGAAGGCGAUUCUCUGGACCGU